rnacentral:misc_RNA from 1 species
UUUCCGUAGGUGAACCUGCGGAAGGAUCAUUAUUGAAUCAUACACUUCCGGCUUUAUCCUGUUGUCCUUGCUUUUUGCUAAAUUUGCACACGGCGCUGGUCCCUUGUUUCAUCUCCUCCACCUGCGCACUGCCUGCAGCCACGCUGUGUCUAAGAUAUUUGUUUACUCACAACAAUGUUAGUUGUCAUGUUAUAUAUAAUAAUCAAAUAAACAACUUUUAACAACGGAUCUCUUGACCCCCGCAUCGCGGAAGAACACAGCAGAUCGGAAGAGCAAACG